rnacentral:pre_miRNA from 1 species
UCUUAUGGUUGAGCAAAGAAAGUGGUUCUUGUAGAUGGAAUCUACUCUUGGUGAAGAUGCUGUGAA